rnacentral:rRNA from 1 species
UACGGAGGAUGCAAGCGUUAUCCGGAUUUAUUGGGUUUAAAGGGUGCGUAGGUGGGAUUAUAAGUCAGAGGUGAAAUAUUGCAGCUUAACUGUAAAAUUGCCUUUGAUACUGUAGUUCUUGAGUUCAGUUGAGGUGGGCGGAAUGUGUAAUGUAGCGGUGAAAUGCUUAGAUAUUACACAGAACACCAAUUGCGUAGGCAGCUCACUAAACUGACACUGACACUGAGGCACGAAAGCGUGGGGAUCAAACAGG